UACGUAGGGGGCAAGCGUUGUCCGGAAUCAUUGGGCGUAAAGAGCGUGUAGGCGGCUCGAUAAGUCUGCUGUGAAAGUCCAGGGCUCAACCCUGGAAGGCCGGUGGAAACUGUCGGGCUAGAGUCCGGAAGAGGCGAGUGGAAUUCCUGGUGUAGCGGUGAAAUGCGCAGAUAUCAGGAGGAACACCGGUGGCGAAGGCGGCUCUCUGGGACGGUACUGACGCUGAGACGCGAAAGCGUGGGGAGCGAACAGG
rnacentral:rRNA from 1 species